UGGGGAAUAUUGCACAAUGGGCGCAAGCCUGAUGCAGCCAUGCCGCGUGUGUGAAGAAGGCCUUCGGGUUGUAAAGUACUUUCAGCGGGGAGGAAGGGAGUAAAGUUAAUACCUUUGCUCAUUGACGUUACCCGCAGAAGAAGCACCGGCUAACUCCGUGCCAGCAGCCGCGGUAAUACGGAGGGUGCAAGCGUUAAUCGGAAUUACUGGGCGUAAAGCGCACGCAGGCGGUUUGUUAAGUCAGAUGUGAAAUCCCCGGGCUCAACCUGGGAACUGCAUCGGAUACUGGCAAGCUUGAGUCUCGGAGAGGGGGGUAGAAUUCCAGGUGUAGCGGUGAAAUGCGUAGAGAUCUGGAGGAAUACCGGUGGCGAAGGCGGCUCCCUGGACGAAGACUGACGCUCAGGUGCGAAAGCGUGGGGAGCAAACAGG
rnacentral:rRNA from 1 species